GACUGCAGGAAAACACAACAGAAUAAAUUACACAAGGUACACAACUAACAAAAAGUUAUUAAAGACAUUUCAGAUCUACACUUGAUGAAAAUUCUAAAAUACAUUCAGGCGAUACAUUUUUAAAUAAAUCAGUUAAACACACCUCUGAAUAAAACAGUUACUCAUUUACAUUAAAAACAGUACAAUCCAAUAAAAUAUGCUUCAGUGUGAUUUUAAAUCCUCAUACUUACUUGACUACAGUCAGUGUAGGUUUUGGUGCAUUAAUGUGCUUGUGACCCACGUGUUACAUCUGUCACUCAACUCAGAACGCCACGCCUAGCUAAUUUUAAUAACCACGCCCCCUGGGAGGAUCCACCGCACUGCUCAUGAAUAAUGCGAGACCAAACUCUCCCUCCCGCCCCUAUUCGACACAAACACACACGUACGUUACCCCCCUCUCUCUCUCACACGCGCGCACACACACACACACACACACUAUUAAGCGCGAUCGUUUAUCCGCCUUUCUCGCGCUGUGAGUAAAUAAGCGCGCGAAAUCACACACAAAUCCCUCAAACGGCGCACUAUAUGAAGCGCUCACCGAGCCGCGUACAAACCUGUACUGCGCUACUGUAAAUAUGAAAUGUACUCUCUAAAACAGUGACGAUUAAAAACAGACUUCGCUCUUUCGAUCAUUCACAAGCAUGCGAACUCGCGCAGCUCCAUCUCGCGCUAUGGCACAGCAGACCCGCGCGCUUAUAUACAGCAGCUCGGACCGAGACUGACGGACAGCCGCGCCCGCCAAUCAGAACGCAGGAUAUGCACUAAGGCCCCCUGAACGACCAAUGGCGAAGCUCAAAGCGAAGGCAUGUGCUCUCGGUCACCGCCCCUCCUCGCUGAAUAGGUAUCCAGCGGACUGCCUGCGCUGACCCGACACAAACUAAUCACUAUCAUCGAUAUCAACAAAUAUAACCUGCUAAAGACAAAACCGACCUUUUAUGUUUAAUUAGAAUUUAUAUCCGUGGAAAAUCCCAUCGUGCUGCUUCAGCGAGCAGUCAGGAACUUGACAGAGACGCCCGUCGCAUGUGUAAACAAGCCCUGACCGAGUUCCUGAGCGCUUAUAACCGCGACUAGAGACUGAAUACAGACGAGCACGCGCGUUAUGUGACGGUGACACUGUGCAGAGUGAGAAAUUAACGCCGACGGCGAGUUUUAAAGAGACCCUCCCACAUUACUGCAGGAGAAGGGGAAUUCUGGGAAAUGUAGUCGUGUAGUCCAACCUGUUGCAAAACUCUUCUUUUUCCAAAGAAGGAUCCAGAAGAAAUGUGAUCUUGAUUUAAGGCUCAGUCAGAAACAAAACAAUAUUUGUGACCCUGGACCACAAAACCAGUCAUAAGGGUCGAUUUGUUUUGAAUAAAUAAUCUCUCCAUUGAUGUGUGGUUUGUUAGGAGGACAAUAUUUGUCUGAGAUACAACUAUUUGAAAAUCUGGAAUCUGAGGGAGCAAAAAAAUCUAAAUAUUGAGAAAAUCAUCUUUAAAGUUGUUCAAAUGAAGUUCUUAGCAAUGCAUAUUACUAAUCAAAAAUUAAGUUUUGAUAUAUUUACAGUAGGAAAUUUACUAAAUAUCUUCAUGGAACAUGAUCUUUACUUAAUAUCCUAAUGAUUUUUGUCAUAAAAGAAAAAUGUAUAAUUGUGACUCAUACAAUGUAUUGUUGUCUAUUGCUACAAAUAUACCUGUGCUACUGAUGACUGCUUCUGUGCUGCAGGGACACAGAUAGUUUCCUCAUCACAUUGUUUCAGCUCUGCUAUCUCUUUCUGUAGUAGCUGCUGUGUGGAUUUUAUUUCUAGCAAAU
rnacentral:lncRNA from 1 species